rnacentral:ncRNA from 1 species
GAUGAUUGGCUUGUAGCAGCCAAAAGUUCAUAGCAAUGUCACUUUUUGAUUCUUCAAAGUUGGCUCUUCCUAUUAUUGAGAAGCAGCCUUCGCCAAGCAUUGGAUAGUUCACCCACUAAUAGGGAAUGUGCACUGGGUUUAGACCAUCAUGAGACAGGUU